rnacentral:lncRNA from 1 species
GUAGAAUGUCAUUUCCCUCGUUUCUCUAGCACUGUUCGUUUUCUCCCUCGCUAAUCAGUAUCAUAAAGGGUAAAUUCUUCUAACAUUUGCUGUGCUUUAUUACACAGCUACCUAAGUAUGUAAAUAGACCCAUGUAUCUUUGUUAGUGUAUUUUAAAUGUGGGCAAGUGUUACUGUGCUGCACAUGUCUCUUUGCAGCUUGCUUCUCCCAGCAUGAUUUGUGGGUUGAUACCUGUAGAACUGACUGUCCAUUUCAGCAGUUUUAAAAUAGUAUUGGCAGUUGUAUUAUUUUUAAAGAGACCCAAUUCUAAAACGGAUUCAUUUUUGUUAAAGAUACUGCCUCAAAUUUUCAGAUGCUGCAGCAAUCCAUACAUGAACAUUCUCUGAGAAUGAUUUAGUACCUGAUUUUUCUUUUAAAUUUAUGCUUUAGAAAAACGUGUGGAGAUAUUUUAAAAUGAUGAGAGAAUAUAAUACAAGUGUACCUGUCUGGUAUAAUUCAUAAAUGUUACUAUUUUGUCAUAUCUGUUUUAGAUCUUCUUUUUAAACUUUAACUAGUCAUCAUUUCUGAUGAAAUUCAAGUCCCCUCUGCCUCUCUGGCUGCACUCUCCAGCCUUCCCCCAAAGGCAAACUCUAUCAUGAAUUUGGUAUGCAACUUUGCAAUUUAGGUUGCAGACUUUCAACUUUAUAUGAAUUUAUAUGGAGAUACUGCUUUUUAAAAAUAUAUACACAUGGUUUAAGACUGUAUAUAUUAUUCUUUAACUUGUUUCUUCCUUCUUGGUAUGUUUUUGGGUGUUUUCCCCCUCCUAAUCAUGUUGGUGAAUAUAAAUGCAGUUCACUCAUUUUAAUUGCUGCAUUGUAGAUCCAUGCAUAUGAAUGUGUCCUUUUUAUUCAUGGUCCUACUGAUGAAUGUUGAAGUUGUUGCCAAUAUUUUGGCAUUGCUAGUGCAUGUUUCUUUUGCACAUAUGCAAGAAUUUCUCCAGUGUGUACCUAGGUGACGAUUGCUAGGCAGCACUCAUGUUUUGAGUCUUACUAGAAACUGCCAAUGACGUUCCAAUUUGCACACCCAUCAGCAGCAGAUGAGAUGUCCUGUUUCCCUAACAUGAUGCUAAACCCAUUCUAGAAUCAGACUUAUUUCUGCCAGUUGGCUUAAAAAGAAAAUACCCAGUAUCUUGUUAUUUUAUUUGAAUUUCCCUCACUGCUAGUGAGGCUGGGCAUUUUUCCAUGUACUUAUUGGCUGUUGAAGUUUCUGAGUCUGUGAUUUGUUUUUUGUCAGCCUUUGCCAUUUUUCCAAUAGGCUACGUGCGCUUUUUAUCUUUCAUUCCUUGGACUUAUGGUGUUUCAUGUAUAUAUAUGUUGAACACAUUGUCCCAAUCUAUAGUUCGUCUUUUAACUUUUGAUGUUGCCUGUUUUACAGAGAACAUAAAAUAUUGUUGUAGUCAAUCCC